GACGGGGGAUGCAAGCGUUAUCCGGAAUCACUGGGCGUAAAGCGUCUGUAGGUGGUGAUGCAAGUCACUGGUGCAAAACUCUGGCUCAACCGGAGGAAAGCCAGUGAAACUGCAUGACUAGAGUGUGGGAGAGGUAGAAGGAAUUCCAUGAGUAGCGGUGAAAUGCGUAGAUACAGGGAAGAACACCGGAGGCGAAAGCGUUCUACUGGAACACAACUGACGCUGAGAGAAGAAAGCUAGGGGAGCGAAUGGG
rnacentral:rRNA from 1 species